rnacentral:lncRNA from 1 species
CUUUUACUUUGUUUUCUUUUCUUUCUUGUUUUAUGCUGUCUUCUUUUGUGGGUUUUUCUGGUUGCUCGUUUUACAGGUUGUGGUCGCCGCCCUCUCUACCGCCGUCGCCGUGUUGGCUGCACUCCUAUCCAGGGAUGUUCUUAAACUUUCUCUUUUUGUGCCCUGAGGACAGUGCUUGUUUUUCUCUGUGGGGGAGGGGCGUGAUUUAUGAGUUUUGGGGGUUUUAUGGUUCUGUCUUGGUUGUGUUGUUG